rnacentral:rRNA from 1 species
UACGUAGGGGGCGAGCGUUGUCCGGAAUUAUUGGGCGUAAAGAGCGUGUAGGCGGUUCGGUAAGUCUUUCGUGAAAACCUGGGGCUCAACCCCAGGCGUGCGGUGGAUACUGCCGGGCUAGAGGAUGGUAGAGGCGAGUGGAAUUCCCGGUGUAGCGGUGAAAUGCGCAGAUAUCGGGAGGAACACCAGUAGCGAAGGCGGCUCGCUGGGCCAUACCUGACGCUGAGACGCGAAAGCGUGGGGAGCAAACAGG